GGCAGCAGUGGGGAAUAUUGCACAAUGGGGGAAACCCUGAUGCAGCGACGCCGCGUGAGCGAUGAAGUAUUUCGGUAUGUAAAGCUCUAUCAGCAGGGAAGAAAAUGACGGUACCUGACUAAGAAGCCCCGGCUAACUACGUGCCAGCAGCCGCGGUAAUACGUAGGGGGCAAGCGUUAUCCGGAUUUACUGGGUGUAAAGGGAGCGUAGACGGCUGUGCAAGCCAGAUGUGAAAGCCCGGGGCUCAACCCCGGGACUGCAUUUGGAACUGCGUGGCUUGAGUGUCGGAGAGGCAGGCGGAAUUCCUAGUGUAGCGGUGAAAUGCGUAGAUAUUAGGAGGAACACCAGUGGCGAAGGCGGCCUGCUGGACGAUGACUGACGUUGAGGCUCGAAAGCGUGGGGAGCAAACAGGAUUAGAUACCCUGGUAGUCCACGCCGUAAACGAUGACUACUAGGUGUCGGGUAGCAAAGCUAUUCGGUGCC
rnacentral:rRNA from 1 species